UACGGAGGGUGCAAGCGUUAUCCGGAUUCACUGGGUUUAAAGGGUGCGUAGGUGGGAAUGUAAGUCAGUGGUGAAAUCUUUGAGCUUAACUCAGAAACUGCCAUUGAUACUAUGUUUCUUGAAUUUUCCGGAGGUUAGCGGAAUAUGUCAUGUAGCGGUGAAAUGCUUAGAUAUGACAUAGAACACCAAUUGCGAAGGCAGCUAACUACAGGGAUAUUGACACUGAGGCGCGAAAGCGUGGGGAGCAAACAGG
rnacentral:rRNA from 1 species